ACUCGAGUGGCGAACGGGUGAGUAACACGUGGGUGAUCUGCCCUGCACUUCGGGAUAAGCUUGGGAAACUGGGUCUAAUACCGGAUAGGAGCCAUCUUUAGUGUGGUGGUUGGAAAGUUUUUCGGUGUAGGAUGAGUUCGCGGCCUAUCAGCUUGUUGGUGGGGUAAUGGCCUACCAAGGCGGCGACGGGUAGCCGGCCUGAGAGGGUGUACGGCCACAUUGGGACUGAGAUACGGCCCAG
rnacentral:rRNA from 1 species